rnacentral:rRNA from 1 species
CCCUUAGAUGUUCUGGGCCGCACGCGCGCUACACUGACGAAUGCAACGAGCUUAUAACCUUGGCCGAAAGGUCUGGGUAAUCUCCAAAUUUCGUCGUGAUGGGGAUAGAUUAUUGCAAUUAUUAAUCUUCAACGAGGAAUGCCUAGUAAGCGCAAGUCAUCAGCUUGCGUUGAUUACGUCCCUGCCCUUUGUACACACCGCCCGUCGCUCCUACCGAUUGGGUGCUCCGGUGAAUUGUUUGGACUGCUGUCAGUCUUUUAGGCUGUUGGCGAGAAGCUCUGUGAACCUUAGCACCUAGAGGAAGGAGAAGUCGUAACA